UACGUAGGGUGCGAGCGUUGUCCGGAGUUACUGGGCGUAAAGGGUGUGUAGGCGGUUGUUUAAGUUUGGUGUGAAAUCUCCCGGCUCAACUGGGAGGGUGCGCCGAAUACUGAGCGACUAGAGUGCGGGAGAGGAAAGUGGAAUUCCUGGUGUAGCGGUGAAAUGCGUAGAUAUCAGGAGGAACACCGAUGGCGAAGGCAGCCUUCUGGGCCAACACUGACGCUCAUGCACGAAAGCGUGGGGAGCAAACAGG
rnacentral:rRNA from 1 species